rnacentral:rRNA from 1 species
UACGAAGGGUGCAAGCGUUAAUCGGAAUUACUGGGCGUAAAGCGUGCGUAGGUGGUUCAUUAAGUCGGAUGUGAAAGCCCCGGGCUCAACCUGGGAAUGGCAUCCGAUACUGGUGGACUUGGAGUUCGAUAGAGGGUAGUGGAAUUCUCGGUGUAGCGGUGAAAUGCGUAGAGAUCGGGAGGAACAUCAGUGGCGAAGGCGGCUACCUGGAUCAGAACUGACACUGAGGCACGAAAGCGUGGGGAGCAAACAGG